UAGGUGAAAUGCCCAAGCUCAACUUGGGAGCUGCCUGAAAAACUGCAGGGAUUGAGUACAGAUGAGGUAGGCGGAAUUCCCAGUGUAGAGGUGAAAUUCGUAGAUAUUGGGAAGAACACCGGUGGCGAAGGCGACUUACUGGUCCGAUACUGACGCUGAGGUACGAAAGCGUGGGGAGCAAACAG
rnacentral:rRNA from 1 species